UUCCCUACGGGGGGCAGCAGUGGGGAAUAUUGCACAAUGGGGGAAACCCUGAUGCAGCGACGCCGCGUGGGCGAGGAAGUACCUCGGUAUGUAAAGCCCUAUCAGCAGGGAAGAAACAGGACAGUACCUGACUAAGAAGCCCCGGCUAACUACGUGCCAGCAGCCGCGGUAAUACGUAGGGGGCAAGCGUUAUCCGGAUUUACUGGGUGUAAAGGGCGUGCAGCCGGAGAGACAAGUCAGAUGUGAAAUCCACGGGCUCAACCCGUGAACUGCAUUUGAAACUGUUUCCCUUGAGUGUCGGAGAG
rnacentral:rRNA from 1 species